CAUUAGCGGAAAAGACAAGUUCAAUUGGUUUUGAAAAAUAUCUGUAAACUAAUUGUAAAUUGUAUCUUAACAGUGAUUCAAAAUAAUAAGCUAGAUCUUUCGGUCACAUAUUUCACCAUGGAGAAGGCAACUGUGAAUUUUUUGGUGGGCAAGGUGAAGCAAAGGGUGGUGCUGGUCGAAGCGGACAGCAACUUUGUUGACAUACUCUUCAGCUUGUGCGAUUUUCCAUUGGGAACCAUUGUCAGACUCCUCAACAAACAAUCUUAUAGUGGAUGCCUGAACAAAUUGUAUGAGAGCAUUGAGAAUCUUAAUGUGCAAAAUUUCCAGGCUAAGGCAUGCAAGAUCAUGCUUCUCUUCCCUCAAAGCGCUGCAGCUGAGCGGGGUGAAGAUCUAAAAGUAAAUAUUGAUAGCACAGAACCUAAGCCGAUGGCUGUAUAUGUUUGUGCAAAGCGUGGUUUUCAUGCCAAGCCCACAUGCUUCGGUCGCUCUGUUCCGAACGUGCGAUGUCCUCACUGUCGAGAAUUAACUGUGAAUUUGAUUAGAAGAUGGCCCGAAUGGGAUGUUGAUGCUGGUAAACUGUUUGUCAAGAGUGGAGAUAAGUUUAUGAUCAGCGAUGACCUGCAUUUGACUCUGGCUUCUACGGAGCAUAGCCUGUCUUUAAUCCAGAAACUGAUAAUAGAAGAUGCAUGCGUUCUCUAGCAUAAGUCUAUGGAUCUUGGUAGAGGUGAGCUUUGGCGACGUUUUGGCAUUUUUUCUGAGCCAAAUGUGCAAUUCUGCCCACAACUUUGCUGUGGUGAAAAGAAAGGUACGAAAAUUCUUUUCUUCUAGCAGUUUUGGCCUCAAGCUUCCUCUUCAUUAUAUUUCAAGGUAAUACCAUAUGC